rnacentral:misc_RNA from 1 species
AACGAGGCCGACCUGCGGCUGAGUUACCUGCGGAGGGAUCAUUACAAGUGACCCCGGUUUACCACCGGGAUGUUCAUAACCCUUUGUUGUCCGACUCUGUUGCCUCCGGGGCGACCCUGCCUUCGGGCGGGGGCUCCGGGUGGACACUUCAAACUCUUGCGUAACUUUGCAGUCUGAGUAAACUUAAUUAAUAAAUUAAAACUUUCAACAACGGAUCU